CAACAUGCCAUCAACCACUUCAUGGUACAGCUGCUGGUACUCUUCCACUGUGUGGUUGUGGAUCUUCAGGGGGCCAUCUUGCUGCACUGGUUCGGUGGAGGGCUGGAAGCUGGGGGCUGCUGGAGAUGGAGAGCGCUGGCACGUCAAGUGAGAAUUCUGUAUGUGUAGAAGAUGCACCCAUCUGUUGUUUGCAAAGGAGGCAGGCUGGAGAGUGUAACCUCACAUCCUCUGAGCAUGGAUGUCAGUUAUGUCCCAGAUUCACAACGAGGAGAGCAUAGGACUGCUACUCUUAGACCCAGAUGAAACACUGGAAUGGGUCCAGUGUCAUGUGUGCAAAGGCUGGCUGCAUACAGACUGUGCAGGAGCAUCUGAGAGAGGAGUUAACUGUGGACGCACAGAUUCAAACGAAAACACGAGGUCAUCAUCAAAUUCUUGGCAAUGCAAGGUCUGACCCGGCUACAGGUGGAGGCGGUGAUGGCCAGCAGGAGUCGGUUUUAACUGUUGUUUGUUG